AAGUAGAUGCACCCUGAUGGUUUUCCCCCGGCUUCGGCUGGGGGAUUUUUUU
rnacentral:sRNA from 16 species